rnacentral:pre_miRNA from 1 species
UUAGUACUCCCUCCGUCCCAAAAUUCUUGUCUUAGAUUUGUCUAGAUACGGAUGUAUCUAAUACUAAAACGUGACUUGAUACAUCCGUAUUUAGACAAAUCUAAGACAAGAAUUUUGGGACGGAGGGAGUAUCUU